GAUGAACGCUGGCGGCGUGCUUAACACAUGCAAGUCGAACGAAGCAUAAGAGACAGAAUACUUCGGUAGGAAGAUUCUUAUGACUGAGUGGCGGACGGGUGAGUAACGCGUGGGGAACCUACCUCAUACAGGGGGAUAACAGUUAGAAAUGGCUGCUAAUACCGCAUAAGCGCACAGUACUGCAUGGUACGGUGUGAAAAACUCCGGUGGUAUGAGAUGGACCCGCGUCUGAUUAGCUAGUUGGUGAGGUAACGGCCCACCAAGGCGACGAUCAGUAGCCGACCUGAGAGGGUGAACGGCCACAUUGGGACUGAGACACGGCCCAA
rnacentral:rRNA from 1 species